rnacentral:tRNA from 1 species
UUGCUGGCGGGGUGGUGGCUCCGACACGGCCGACUGUGGCUCGGCCUGAUGCUCUCGGCGUGGGCGACGGUCACGUUUGUCGCCGGCGUU